rnacentral:lncRNA from 1 species
UCCUUGAUUUAUCAUAGAUUAUAUAACAAUGAUUUAAACUAACUUCGGUUGGAUCAUAUAAGGUUCAUUCCAUAUCAAGUUAAAUGUUAAAGUAUCCUCCUUUGUUUCUCUAUGCUCAAUUGACUCAAAUAUCCCCUCUUGGUAAUUCUUUUAAAUUACAUUAAAGAAAAUAUUAUUUUCUUUUUGAUUUGUUUCUUUGUCGUCUCAUUUAGAUCAUUAGAGUUACAAACCAAUGUUAUAUAUGCAUCUCACUUUUUAGUCAUGUCAAUUUAAGCGGUUAGGAAAUUUAUGGAAUAAGCUAAUUACACAGUUAUUGUACGGCAGCUUUGCUGUUGCUUUCAUACUGUUGAGUGUUAUACUUCUACCUUGAUUUAGUUUCCCUUAUAAUGGCAGCUUUGCCAUGCUGUAAAUUAAUAAUUUCUUUUCUAAUUCUCAUGUACUGAAGUACUUACAUAUUUGUAAUAGAAAAUUAUUGCUUUCUUUUAUGCCCAUCACAUAGAGGAUAUAGUAUAAUACUCCCUCCGGUCCUAUUUAUAAGAGAAUUUUGGGUCAAUAAAAGUUGAUGUAUCUAGUUAAAAAUUCAGUCCAAAUACAUUCACUUUUGUUGACCUAAAUUUCUCUUAUAAAUAGGACCGGAGGUAGUACCACCCUACGACCAAAAGGAAACUCAUAAAAGGAUG